GUUGAGUUAUUUAACUCAUGGCAAAAAAAAAAGGGGGUGUAUCCUAAGUUUCAAACAGAACGUCCAGUUUUGACACGGUAGUCUCAAUCACAAUUAAUGAGUAGCAAGCAACUACUAUAACUUCACUCAUCUCAAUAGAUAUUGCUUCCCAGUAUGGGAAAAGUGAAACCAUAUUAACAGCUAUAUCUUCCACUUAAAGGGAGUAAACAACUAGAUAAAAACUACAGGUUACGGGGUUAGACACAAAUUACUAAAAAUAAACAAUUAGAAAAACAUUCAUCCUAAAAGUGAACUCCAAUAAAAAAAGAACAUAGGAUAAUUAAUUAAACAUUAAUUCACACAUUCUAAUUCAGAUAAAACCUUCUAACAAAGAAAAAUGCAAAAUAGUUGUUCCAUUCCAACAGUCUAGAAAAAGUAGCAAGAAGUAAGGAAAUCUAGAAUAACUUCUUUGAAUACCAGAUCAUCUGUUUGUUAUGUAGUUGUUCUGAAAACGAAUGUUCACUUGUGUGCUGCAACUAGAGUUUUAGGCCCCCCAACCUUCUGCAACUGACUACCUUCUGCGUCCUAGUAAAGCAUUUGAAUGCUUUCCAGGGCAUGCUAAUCCUUUCUAGGCAGCCUUUGCCAUCAUCAAUUUCAGUCCUUUCAAAGAUGAACUCUGACUCCCAUUUCAGCUCUUAUACAUGCUGUCUGCCACUUUUCAAAUUUUACAGCGGGGUUAAAGUGAUGGGAAGAAUUGAUCUUGAAAGAUGUUUUCUUCUUUCUCUUGAAGCAAUCCCUAGGAAAAGGCAUUAAGCCUAGUAUGGAAAGGAAAGGACUUUAUCCAACUGAAGGAAUUGCUUGAAUGAAACAGAAAUGCCUACUGGCUGGUCUCUACCAGAAAAACUAAAGAAUGAAAUGAGGCAGGUUCAUUAACAAGAAUUACCAAGUCCUAAAAGAAGGGGCUCAUUGAGUCACAUAGUGAAUCUUUAAGCACCAGGAUUUUUUGUUUCAAACAUCCAAACAUUGGAAUGAGAAUAUAUGACUGAUGCAAAUGAGGGCAUGGAAGAAAUGGUUAAUGGAUAAGGUAAAAAUGGAAAAGACUAGCAAUCCACUAACCCAAAAUCAAGUCAAAUAAAAUAUGAUCACCAAGCCAUGACAUACGAAGUUUUAUAUGUAAAAUUUGGGUUGGGCAGGAGGAGAGUGUGGGAGAGGGAGGAACAUAACGUUUUCAUUUUGCAUCCAAUGGCUGAUACAAAGUCUUAAAUCUUAUGAACUUCACAUUUUCCUUCUCUUAUGUAUGAUACUAUCCACACACAUCAUGUCCCUUAGAUGUAACACAAGUAAAUAGCAAACCACCUUUCCAUUUCUAGAACUCCUUUUUUCUUCCUAGAAAACAAAUUAAAGACAUUUUAUGAUAGAAAAUUAUUUAUUCCUUCUUCAACUCUAACUAAUUAUGCAAGAUUUCUUGACCUAAGUGAUGCUUGCAAAUUUCUCUAGCGACUCUUUCUCCCUUCUAAAACAAACAUUAAAAUUCUACAGUGAAAAUAAAGAGCCCAAGGCCCCCCAACAAACAACAGAAAUCCAUGAAAAACUAACAUACUACUUAAAAAUGAAAACAGCUAAUUUUUUUAGGAUAAGAAAUUUUAUUGAGAAUGAUAACAGCUAAAUUUUCUUUCAUUCUUUUUUGAUAAUGUUCUUCUAAUUUCUUGCCAAUCGUUCUUUUUUGCUAGAGACAUUUGAGAUUUUGGCAUAAUUGACCAGUUAAAUUGAUAAGACGAGAAGUAUUGAUGGGAUAAUAUCUUCGGAUGUUUCCUUCAUUUGGAUCACUUUUGUAUUUGGUAUAAAGUCUGAAUUGUCAUUCCAACAAACCUUUGCAUUUUGAUCUCAGAUUCGAACUCAAGCAGCAAUAAGCUUGAAUGAUUUGGAAUUUUAUCAAUGGAGAAAGGAGGCAAUGAAGAUCUAGAAAUUUUGAGAUCCAGGCAGCAGCAUCUUGGUUGUCGCAUGGCCAAGCCAGGUGACAAGCAGGACACAAAAGCCAGGAGGUAGAAGUCAUGUUCUAUAAUUUCUUCUCUUGUCCUUAUAAUUGUGCACUAAAAGGAAGAAUACAGUAAAACAUUUUGUCGUUUUAUCAUUAAAAAAGAAAAAAUAUGUACAAGUUAAAAGGAGGGGAAAACAGAACUUCAUGUUCAACACUGGAUGCAUACCAAAUCAAUGGGCUAAAAAUAUGUAAAACUAAAAAGUCUUAAAUAUCCAUGUCUCAGGGAGAAAAAGUAAGUAAAAGAUGGGAAAGAAUGAACAUAUUUUACUUGCAUGCUAUCACUAACAAACAAACAUAAGAUAAGUACCUACCUGUGAAACCUGCUCGAGUAGAAUGCGACUAGCAGUAACAGUAAUGGCAGAACAAUCAUGAUUUAAUAAUCAAUGUAAUGAAUGUAGAAAUUUGGAAAAAAAAAGGGGGACUAUCUUACUUGAAUUGUAAAAGUAAGA
rnacentral:misc_RNA from 1 species